rnacentral:lncRNA from 1 species
AAGAUUUUAAAAUUUAUUAUUUAGAAUUUAGAAUUUAGAAUUUAAAAUUUAAGAUUUAAAAUUUAGAAUUAGAGUUUUUAAAAUUUAGAAUUUAGAAAUUAGAAUUUAGAGGUUCAGGAGUUUAAGGUUUAGGAGUUAGAAUUCAGAAUUUAGAGUUUAUCAGAUUUGGGGAUUAAGAUUUAGGAUUUAGGAUUUAGGAUAUAGUGUAAUAUCCCAAAAAAAGAAAAAAACUUUUAGGCUCGUGGGCCGGCCCGAAUAGGCCAGGGCCAUGGUCGACCCAUGCUUGGCCGUGGGGGAGACGGGGAAGAAGACCCCGACUGGGAGUCUUCUUCCUCCCCCGAAUCCGGCGGGAUCGAGGACUCCCAUGGGGCGAUCCGAGUUCGAUUCGAACUCUAGGAUCGCGCCUAUAAAUCUCCCCUCCCCCUCCUCUGAUUUCCUCCACCCAAGCCGCCGAGAAUCGCCAAGAUUGAAGCCUUCUUCUCCGAGCUUCUUCCUCCUGGAUUUCUCGCCGGAAACGCCGCCGGAAUGUCGUCGGACUGAGGUGAGCGUCGCUUGCUUUCCUCUUCUUCUUUUUCUAUGUCUAUACGUUGUCCUUUCUUGGGUUUGAGCCGGAGCACCUGAUUCGGCUUCUUCCUCCGAGUUCCGCCGCCGCCGCCGUGAGAUCCGCCGCUUGACCGCCGGACUGAACCACCCUUGGCCGAGAUCCGUUCCCUCCGUAGACUCGCCGACGAGCUCUCCUUCUCCUUGUUCUUUUAUUCUUAGAAUCUUUAUUUCGAACCCAACCGAGAUUGUUCUCGGUCUUCCUCCCCGCCGGCCCCCGCAGCGGCUGCCGGCCGCCUCUGCGCUCGGGUGGCAGGAGGUCGACGGCCAGUCGCCACCCAGGUCCGGCCACCGCCGGAGCUCCCUUCCUCUUUCCUCUCUCCCCUCUUUCCUCCUUCCUCCCUGUUUUCUUAGCGGGAUGAAGAACAACCCUGUUACCCAUAGUGGGCCGUAAUGGGCCAUGAGCAUUAAUAUGGGCCCUAUUCACAUAUGGACCCACUUCAACCACUUUGGGCUCUAUUGGGCCCUUCUAUUGUGGGCCCAACUUGGAUUCAGUUCAAUCAUCUUGGGCUCUUCUAUUGUGGGCCCAAUUUAGGCCCCGUUCAGCCAUGUUUGGCCGUUUACUCAUUUGGACCGUGUCGGGUCAUUUACCCCUUUGGGCCUUGUUGGGCUGUUUAUCUAUUUCGGCCGAGUUGGGUCGUAUUCAUUCACCUAUUGUGGGCCCGUUCACCCAUUAUGGGCCUGUUCAUCCGUCGUGGGCCCAUUCAUUCAGAUCGACCUAGGUCAAAUAUCUCUUUUCCGAUUUUCGUCAAACUGGACUAAAUAGGCCAAACCUUUGAUUGGAUCCAACUAAGUAGAUCAAACCGAAAAGUUCAAUAAGCUUUAGAUUGUGUUUCUCUCACUACAGGAUCUUCUCUCUCUACAGAAUUUGCUCCCUUUAUGGGACUUUCUCUCUCUACUUGACUCGUGGACUAGAUACAUUGAUUAAUGCCUCUAUGAGGGACCGAACCCAGACCUCUGAUUGAAUCCGGACUAAGAUUCUCUCUCCUCUCCUUGAUUUAAUUCUUGAGAUUCUCUCUCUUCUUCCUCUGCAGCCAACUGAUCAGUAGGUGCAUUGGGCUGCUGCUGCCGCUGAGCAACAUUCCUCAGUACCUCCAAGGCUUCAGCAACUUUUGCUUUCAGAGCCUGAGGAGACUCCAACAAAUGCAGGACUCAGUCUGGUCCAUCUCCAGAAGCA